UGUAUAUAGGCAUGAGAAUAUAAGUUUUGUUUGCUAAUUUAAUUUGUUUCGAGCUCCAUUGCUUGUCAUUUCUCAACAACUCCUGAAAUUUUUAGUGUAGAUUUCCUCUGCUAGCUAAGAGAAUCUUGAGAAAACUUGAUAUUUACAUUUAGCAAAUAAUUUAGAAAGCCUCUAAAAUCCUUUAUUUUUUCAUAGCUAUUUCAUAUUUUAAUUAGUAAAAAUACUAUAUUUUUGAACUUCACCUUCCAUUUCCAAUAGACCUAAGUUUAUCAACCUUUAUCACUUUAUUUCUUCUUCAUGUUCAUUUAGGUUCAUGCUCAAGUCCUGAGAAGUCACCCUAUUUUAAAUCUUUUCAGUUUCUUUGAAAAUGUAUUUGUAGAUUUGUGCUUUUAGGAGCAUACAGUAUAAAGGUAGCUCUGAUUUUAAGGAGUAGUGUGAAACUAAUGGUGGCCAUUGUAUUCAUCCAGAGACAUAGGUUUGAACUUUGUUGUAGGGGAAAUAAAGGAUUAGAAAAAUAAAAAAGGUAGGUUGUACAUGAGAUAUGAAGGAGGGGAAGGAGAUUGGGAGAUUGGGUUUUCUACUCUGGCUUUCUCUGU
rnacentral:lncRNA from 1 species